rnacentral:rRNA from 1 species
GAGAGCUUGCUCUCUGGAUCAGUGGCGAACGGGUGAGUAACACGUGAGCAAUCUGCCCCUGACUCUGGGAUAACAGUUGGAAACAGCUGCUAAUACCGGAUAUGAGCUGCGACCGCAUGGUCGGCAGUUGGAAAGAAUUUCGGUCAGGGAUGAGCUCGCGGCCUAUCAGCUUGUUGGUGAGGUAAUGGCUCACCAAGGCGUCGACGGGUAGCCGGCCUGAGAGGGUGACCGGCCACACUGGGACUGAGACACGGCCCAGACUCCUACGGGAGGCAGCAGUGGGGAAUAUUGCACAAUGGGCGCAAGCCUGAUGCAGCAACGCCGCGUGAGGGACGACGGCCUUCGGGUUGUAAACCUCUUUUAGCAGGGAAGAAGCGAAAGUGACGGUACCUGCAGAAAAAGCACCGGCUAACUACGUGCCAGCAGCCGCGGUAAUACGUAGGGUGCAAGCGUUAUCCGGAAUUAUUGGGCGUAAAGAGCUCGUAGGCGGUUUGUCGCGUCUGCUGUGAAACCCCGAGGCUCAACCUCGGGCCUGCAGUGGGUACAGGCAGACUAGAGUGCGGUAGGGGAGAUUGGAAUUCCUGGUGUAGCGGUGGAAUGCGCAGAUAUCAGGAGGAACACCGAUGGCGAAGGCAGAUCUCUGGGCCGUAACUGACGCUGAGGAGCGAAAGGGUGGGGAGCAAACAGGCUUAGAUACCCUGGUAGUCCACCCCGUAAACGUUGGGAACUAGUUGUGGGGGUCAUUCCACGGUCUCCGUGACGCAGCUAAC